UACGUAGGGGGCGAGCGUUGUCCGGAUUUAUUGGGCGUAAAGAGCUCGUAGGCGGUUCGAUAAGUCGGACGUGAAAUCUCCACGCUCAACGUGGAGGGGCCGUUCGAUACUGUCGUGACUCGAGUCCGGUAGGGGAGUGUGGAAUUCCCGGUGUAGCGGUGAAAUGCGCAGAGAAUCGGGAGGAACGACCCGAUACGCCGAAGGCGGAGCACUCUGGCCGUACUG
rnacentral:rRNA from 1 species